UGCCUGGCGGCCAUAGCGCGGUGGACCCACCUGAACCCAUGCCGAACUCAGAAGUGAAACGCCGUAGCGCCGAUGGUAGUGUGGGGUCUCCCCAUGCGAGAGUAGGACACUGCCAGGCAU
rnacentral:rRNA from 3 species